AGCCGUGCAGUGAGCGCAGUGCGAACUAUUCUUUCGCCUUUUACUAAAGAAUACCGUGUGUUCAUUGCUUUAAGCGGCAUAUGCUUAUUUUUGGAGGGCCUAUCCUUCGGGAUAGGU